UGGGGAAUCUUGGACAAUGGGGGAAACCCUGAUCCAGCGACGCCGCGUGGGUGAUGAAGGCCUUCGGGUCGUAAAGCCCUGUCGGGAGGGAAGAAACUCCUGCCGGUGAACAAUCGGCGGGAUUGACGGUACCUUCUAAGGAAGCACCGGCUAACUCUGUGCCAGCAGCCGCGGUAAGACAGAGGGUGCAAGCGUUGUUCGGAAUUACUGGGCGUAAAGGGCGCGUAGGCGGUCCGCUAAGUUCGGUGUGAAAUCCCCUGGCUCAACUGGGGAACUGCGCCGGAAACUGGCAGACUCGAGUACCGGAGAGGAGGGUGGAAUUCCUGGUGUAGCGGUGAAAUGCGUAGAUAUCAGGAGGAACACCGGUGGCGAAGGCGGCCCUCUGGACGAGUACUGACGCUGAGGCGCGAAAGCGUGGGGAUCAAACAG
rnacentral:rRNA from 1 species